rnacentral:misc_RNA from 1 species
GUCAUUUCAACCAUCAAGCCCUCGCUUGUGUUGGGGUCCUGCGGCUGCCCGCAGGCCCUGAAACCAGUGGCGGGCUCGCUAGUCACUCCGAGCGCAGUAAUACAUCUCGCUCAGGGCGUGCGGCGGGCUCUUGCCGUUAAAACACCAAACUUUUUUCAAAGGUUGACCUCGGAUCAGGUAGGAAUACCCGCUGAACUUAA